UCUGACAUUGGCCACAUAAGCUGCCCGGACGUUCCAGAAAACCCAAAAUCCAAACUCCUAUUCCUUCCGUUCGUUUCCUUUCUCAUCGUGGAUGUGAAAUCCAACGGUCCAAAUGGCUCGAGACGGAUACGACGUCCCAGCCGACCGUCAGGCCUCUCUAAAGAAUAAAACGGCCGUGUCGAGGAGCUGGAUACUGCUACAUUGCAACGGCGAGGACACGAUCCUGGACAUCGACAAGUACGCUAUCAUGAGCCGGAUUCAGAUUCACGCUCGCGAUCUUCGGAUCCUCGACCCACUUCUAUCCUAUCCGUCGACGAUUUUAGGCCGAGAUCAGGCCAUUGUUCUAAAUCUCGAGCAUAUCAAGGCCAUAAUCACUGCAGAAGAGGUGUUGCUUCAAGAUCCCACGGAUGAUAAUGUUAUUCCCAUUGUCAAGGAGCUUCGUAGGCGGUUGGCACCUGCAAAUAUCAUUCGCCAGGGAGAGGGAGAUGGGAAGGAACACCCAAGCCUGCAAAAUGAUGCUGAAGCUGGCGAAGAAGAUGGGUCUCCGUUUGAAUUCCGGGCCCUGGAGGUAGCGUUGGAAGCCAUUUGCAGUUUUCUUGAUGCAAGUACCACAGAACUGGAGACUGCUGCUUACCCAGCUUUAGAUGCGCUGACCUCCAAGGUUAACAGUCAUAACUUGGAUCAAGUGCGCAAGUUGAAGAGUGAAAUGACAAGGUUGAUUGCUCGAGUUGAAAAGGUAAGGGAUGAGCUUGAACAACUUCUGGAUGAUGAUGAUGAUAUGGCAGACCUUUACUUGUCAAGAAAACUGGCUGGCCCAUCAUCACCUGUUAGUGGCUCUGAUGUACAUGAUAAAUUCCCUGCCUCUCCAACCAUAGGCUCAAAGAUAGCUAGAGCAAGCAGGCCAAGCGUAGCAACGAUUCACGGAAAUAACGUCGAGGAACUUGAGAUGUUACUAGAGGCAUACUUCAUGCAAAUUGAUGGCACGCUGAACAAACUGACCACGCUACGUGAAUAUAUUGACGACACCGAAGAUUACAUUAAUAUUCAGCUUGACAAUCAUCGAAAUCAACUGAUUCAGCUAGAGCUCUUCAUUGGCACUAGCACUCUUAGCCUCCUUAUUAUUUCGUUGGUUGCCGGGAUCUUUGGCGUGAAUCUCCCAUUUACAUGGAAUCAAAACCAUGGAUAUCUAUUUAAAUGGGUGCUCGUCAUCACAGGAUCAGUUUCUAUCACCGUUUUCAUCCUCAUCCUAUCUUAUGCGCGCCGCAAAGGUCUAAUUGGGUCUUAAUGUCUUAAUACACUAGCAUUCCUCCUUCAGGAAAUGAUUCUGCUUCCCAACUGCUACAUUGAGGAUAAGACGUGGAUGCUGAAAUACUACAUCAAGAUUAAAAAAUAAAAAUCAGAUUGGUGACCAUCUGAUGCAGCAGCCAUUACUUACAGGGAUUCAUGAACUUGUGGUGAUCGUAUGGUCGUUGGAGGGAUUGAUCUGAUUUCAGGUGAAAGUACAAAUAAAUGAUGUAGAAUCAACAUUAGUGUCCUGUUAUUGUACUUAUAAUGUCGUAUCAUCACUGAUUAUUCCUGUUCUUUGUGACCCAUAUCAGAAAUUAAUCAGAGAGAGUGCUUGAUUUACCCAACUUCUUGUAUUUAUAUAUGAUGCCGAAUUAUCGGUCCGGAUGCAUCGGGACACGGACACAUGGUUUGGUGAUCCAGACAGUUGAUCUGAUGUAGAUGGCCCAGAUGUCUCCAAGGGAUCAAUGGCUUGCAAAUAGAUGGUUAAGAAAGAAAGAUAACAACCCAAUGAUUCCCCACCCAUAGCGGGCCUUAUCAGAUCAACAGCUUGAUGACCUAGCUGUGGGCCCCACUUGCUCCGGACGGUUG